CCAGCAUUAGAGGCGAGCCGCUGGCUGGGAACGAGCUUUGAUGUCGACCUCUCGCUGCCACUGACAGACCUGCAUUGGGGGGAGGUCUUAGAAAAAAGAACAUCUAAUUCAGCUAGCUCCCGACACCCCCACUAUCUGAAGUGGAAGAACCCACGGCAUGGCAGUUGUCUUCACGGCCACACUGUAAAGGGGCAGGGCAAGACAAACAUCAGACAUUGGACCAUUAUCGUUCACAUUUCAUCGUUUGGAAGAUAAGACUCAUCAGGCUUUCAAACAACAGAUCCUUUUACUUUCCACUAUACUAUUCUAACUUCCUGAGAGCACAAAAUAUUAUUGGUAAUCUAUUAUAAAUUGAAAAAAGCAAUAUGAUUGAUGAAUUGUUGUUAUAAUUACAGAAGUGAUAACAAUAGCCAUGAUUAUUUAGCACUUUGCUUCAGAUGAUGCCCUGAGCAGCCUCUUGGACAUCCACAGACGUGAACAUCCCUAUGGUAGAUGUUAUCACGCCAAUUCACAGAGAAGCAAACGGAGGUCAGAAGCGUUAUCUGAUUUCUCUAAAAUCAUGUAGCCUGUAAAUGGCAGAACCAAGAUUUGAACCAGGUUAACUUCACCCCAAACCAAGUGUUUUUAACCAUCUUCUACACUUCCUUCAUGAAAGAUAAUGCAUGUGUUUGACAAGAUCCCAGUGCAUUGGUAAUACAGAAGUAUAAACAGACAUCAGUGUAAAGACCACCCCAAGCCAAGUUUCAACUAGUAUAGGAUAAAACUUUGAAAGAACAAAGAAAAGUUUAUAUGACAAACGGCUUUCUAAGAGCUGUAUGUGUGUAUGUGUAUAUGUUUGAGGGAUUGGAUUCUCAAAUAUAUAUAUAUAUAUAUAUAUAUAUACAUAUAAUAUACCUAUAUUUUCAUUUAUACAUGAGUGCAUAUACAUACAUAGAAAAUACAUAUUUUAAAAACUAAAAUUAUACGGCCAAAAGGAAUAACAUAUUAUUAAGCUCUUUCACAAAAUCCUAAAAAGUUCUAACAGUUAUUAAGUAGAAUUUAGUUCCUAAGUUUGGUGCAGGAGACAGAAUUGCUACCAGUGUUAUAGGCAACUAUUCAUCAAGAUCUAAUUGUUAGAAUUGCUUCAUUUCAAGGAAAAUGAUUUAGCCCCC
rnacentral:lncRNA from 1 species